GCCUGGGUAGCUCAGUCGGUUGGGCUUCUGACUUCAGCUCAGGUCAUGAUCUCGCGGUCUGUGAGUUCAAGCCCCACGUCGGGCU
rnacentral:tRNA from 1 species